rnacentral:rRNA from 1 species
UCAGGCCUAACACAUGCAAGUCGAGCGGAAACGAGUUAACUGAACCUUCGGGGAACGUUAACGGCGUCGAGCGGCGGACGGGUGAGUAAUGCCUGGGAAAUUGCCCUGAUGUGGGGGAUAACCAUUGGAAACGAUGGCUAAUACCGCAUAAUAGCUUCGGCUCAAAGAGGGGGACCUUCGGGCCUCUCGCGUCAGGAUAUGCCCAGGUGGGAUUAGCUAGUUGGUGAGGUAAGGGCUCACCAAGGCGACGAUCCCUAGCUGGUCUGAGAGGAUGAUCAGCCACACUGGAACUGAGACACGGUCCAGACUCCUACGGGAGGCAGCAGUGGGGAGUAUUGCACAAUGGGCGCAAGCCUGAUGCAGCCAUGCCGCGUGUAUGAAGAAGGCCUUCGGGUUGUAAAGUACUUUCAGCAGUGAGGAAGGUGGUAGUGUUAAUAGCACUAUCAUUUGACGUUAGCCGCAGAAGAAGCACCGGCCAACUCCGUGCCAGCAGCCGCGGUAAUACGGAGGGUGCGAGCGUUAAUCGGAAUUACUGGGCGUAAAGCGCAUGCAGGUGGUUUGUUAAGUCAGAUGUGAAAGCCCGGGGCUCAACCUCGGAAUUGCAUUUGAAACUGGCAGACUAGAGUACUGUAGAGGGGGGUAGAAUUUCA